UUGUGCGCACAACACUUGCCCAUCAAGAUCAUUUUCAAAAGAUGAUUACUUCAGUGUGCCCAGGCCUGCAGGACAUAAGUAUGUGGGCAGUGGUGGAUGACGAGUCCUACCACACAGGCAGGAUUUUUUGAAAGAUUCAGAGUAUGGCAAAGUGUUUAACAUGAGACAGCUGUGGAGUGUGUACCAAAUGUGGACAGAAACUGUGAGGACCAGAUGGAAACACAUGACAGAGUUAUUAAUGAUGUGGAUAAAGGAACAAACAGUGCCUUCAUAAAUUAGCUAAUGAAACUAGAAGGAGAGGUGUCAUGACAUCCUUGGGAACAGAGGAAAGAGCUAAGAGGCAUAUUUUGUGCCAGAUCCACAUGAGGAAUUUACAACACAGAAGGGAUGUAUCAUAUCUACCACGUGGGCCAAGAAAUAGUAUAUGGAACCUGAUCUGUGCACAACAGAGGGUGUCUCUGUGGGGCCCAGAGACUCCCUGUAGGGGGUAUGGGAAAGGCAGGAGUCAGCCCCGCUCAGCCUUCCCUCCAGUAAAUAAUCUCUGACAGCAUCUAAAAGACAACAAGACUGGGAAGCAUUCAGGGCACUAAUGUA